rnacentral:rRNA from 1 species
CCUACGUGUGGCAGCAGUGGGGAAUAUUGGGCAAUGGGCGCAAGCCUGACCCAGCAAAGCCGCGUGAAGGAAGAAGGCUUUCGGGUUGUAACAUUCUUUUUAGAGGGAAGAGAAGCAGACGGUACCUCUUGAAUAAGCCACGGCUAACUACGUGCCAGCAGUCGCUGUAAUACGUAGGUGGCAAGCGUUGUCCGGAUUUACUGGGUGUAAAGGGCGUGAAGACGGGAAGACAAGUCAGAUGUGAAAUCUCGCGGCUCAACCGCGGAACUGCAUUUGAAACUGUUUUUCUUGAGUACCGGAGAGGUCAGCGGAAUUCCUGGUGUAGCGGUGAAAUGCGUAGAUAUAAGGAAGAACACCAGUGGCGAAGGCGGAUGACUGGACGGCAACUGACGGUGAGGCACGAAAGCGUGGGGAUCAAACAGGAUUAGAUACCCUAGUAGUC